rnacentral:rRNA from 1 species
UGCCAGCCGCCGCGGUAAUCCGGAGGGUGCAAGCGUUGUUCGGAAUUACUGGGCGUAAAGCGCACGUAGGCGGACUGGAAAGUAUGGGGUGAAAUCCCACGGCUCAACCGUGGAACUGCCUCUUAAACUCCUGGUCUUGAGUUCGAGAGAGGUGAGUGGAACCCCGAGUGUAGAGGUGAAAUUCGUAGAUAUUCGGAAGAACACCAGUGGCGAAGGCGGCUCACUGGCUCGAUACUGACGCUGAGGUACGAAAGUGUGGGGAGCAAACAGGAUUAGAUU